rnacentral:rRNA from 1 species
AGGGCACCACCAGGAGUGGAGCCUGCGGCUUAAUUUGACUCAACACGGGAAAACUCACCCGGCCCGGACACUGGAAGGAUUGACAGAUUGAGAGCUCUUUCUUGAUUCAGUGGGUGGUGGUGCAUGGCCGUUCUUAGUUGGUGGAGUGAUUUGUCUGGUUAAUUCCGAUAACGAACGAGACUCUAGCCUAUUAAAUAGAUCGUUGGCUUACAAACGCCGGCGAGACUUCUUAGAGGGACAGGCGGCGAUUCAGCCGCACGAAACAGAGCGAUAACAGGUCUGUGAUGCCCUUAGAUGUCCGGGGCCGCACGCGCGCUACACUGAAGUGAUCAGCGUGCAUUUUGAAACCUACUCUGUCAAGAGUGGGGAACCCAAUGAACCUUCUUCGUGAUUGGGAUAGGGGAUUGUAAUUAUUCCCCUUGAACGAGGAAUUCCCAGUAAGCGCGAAUCAUAAGUUUGCGCUGAUUACGUCCCUGCCCUUUGUACACACCGCCCGUCGCUACUACCGAUUGAAUGUUU